rnacentral:tRNA from 1 species
UCCCUGGUGGUCCAGUGGUUAAGACUCUGAGCUUCCACUGCAGACCUCAGGUUGGAUUCCUGGUCAGAGAA